GUCGUGAUGGUGUCGGGUCGUUGUAGCUUCCUCAGCCCCGGUUGGGGAGCUUUUUGUGGCGUCGCAUAUUCCCUGGUUCUCUUUCUCCCCGGCUUUGGGCCAUUCACGAAGGGAGACAUGUCAUUUGGAGGAAGAGGUGGUGGCAAUCGUGGCGGAGGUUUCAACCGUGGAGGAGGUGGAUUCAACCGUGGAGGAGGUGGAUUCAAUCGGGGCGGUGGAGGAUUCAAUAGAGGAGGACGUGGUGGUGGAAGAGGUGGAUUUGGCCGUGGAGGAGGACGAGGAGGCUUCAACAGAGGAGGAUAUGAUCAAGGACCGCCUGAAAGCGUAGUCAUCCUUGGAGAAUUUCUGCACCCUUGUGAAGAUGACAUUGUUUGCAAAUGUGUCACUCAGGAAAACAAAGUACCUUAUUUUAAUGCCCCAGUCUAUUUAGAAAAUAAAGAGCAGAUUGGGAAAGUGGAUGAAAUAUUUGGGCAGCUCAGAGACUUUUAUUUUUCAGUCAAACUGUCAGAAAAUAUGAAGGCUUCUUCCUUCAAAAAGCUGCAGAAGUUUUACAUUGAUCCUGCAAAACUGCUACCUCUGCAAAGGUUUUUGCCAAGACCUCCAGGAGAGAAAGGAGCUCCAAGAGGUGGUAGAGGAGGUGGUCGUGGAGGAAGAGGAGGUGGCAGAGGAGGAGGUGGUUUCAGAGGCGGCAGAGGUGGUGGAGGCUUCAGAGGAGGACGAGGUGGAGGUGGUGGUCGAGGAUUUAGAGGCAGAGGACGUUAAGUGAAACUCUGGGAAACACCACGUUUAAGGUUUCAUGACAAAACACAAUGAAAGGAUUUCUAAUGAAAUUGAAUGCUGCACAGUGGACAACUUAAUUGUGCUGUUGUCCAAAGGACUGAAUUGCUAUCGCCUGUGUUGGUCAUGAAUUUCUGCUAAGCUGGGACAAUUUAAGAAGACUGCAGAUACUUGGUCUUUAGCAGACAUUAUACAAAAUGAAUGGAGGGGUGCUUGUGGACUUCUGUAAGCACACACUUUGCCCGCAUAGGGUCCCAGCUUCUGGCUUCAGCAUCUCCACUUAAAAGGAUCAAACUCUGCAGAAGUACUGCUGGUGGAGUAAACAAGGUUAAGAUUGAUGGACAAGUCAGCUGAGCUAGAGUGGAAGGCAGCUUUCUGGUUUUCUAAAUGGAUGUGGUGGUCCUUUUUAGAGAGGGCAGCCUUCUGUUGGAAGGACUGCCUGAGAACUGUUCUUUGCUUUGGAGGUUUCCCUUGUAUGAAGGGCUUUAUCAGGCCAAGCCUAAUGUAAAAUUCAAGAACCAUCAGAAGGAAGAGCUGGACCUUAAGCUUCUCCAUCAACAGCACCUGAACUGCAGAGUGAGCAAAGGUACACAGGUCACCUGAUCACUGUCUUCCGCAUUUGUUCACAAGUGGACAACCCAAGAUGUGAUUUGAAAUUGCGGCUUCACAACAAAAAUCCUCAGAAUUUUUUUUUUUUACUUGAAUAGAGAGAAACCUCAUUUUGCUUGUCAUUGUGAAGCAUUUUGCUUUUGAAUAUUAAAACAAGACUUUUGCUUCUGCAUCUUGGGACUUACUCUGUGCAUCUUGUUGAUUGCUUUUUAUUUGUUCAGAAUUCUCAAGCAACACUUGACCAUUUUUUCUGCAAAGACAAAGAAAAGAACUAAGAAAAGAAGUUUGAAUUAUAAAGUGUGACCAAGGAGACUGUUAAUCUCUCUAGUCAUGAGGCCAGGAAACAUAAGCAUCUUGUUGAAAAUACACACACAGCUCUGUGCUGUUCUUUGUUGAACUAACAAGCCGUCCUCUUCCAAAGGCUGGGAAUGUAAACCCCUUUGCUCUUUAAUUGAAAUCCUGUUGGGACCCUUUCAGUACAGAAAUUUUACAGGUCACGAAUUUGCAUGAAAAGGCUUGCUGUAUUUUAUUUUUAUUGGUGAAUGGCUUUUUGCAGGAAAGCUCUGGAGGGUAUUUCUCAAUUCCCCCCACUGCAAUGUUUCUGAAUGAUUCUUCAAAUUCUUCAGAAAGUGAGAAUGAACCUCAUCCGGCCUUUUCGCAGACUGAACACAACAUAGUUGCAGCUUAUUUGAUAACAGCAGGUAUGAAUGUGGAUUGAAAAAUAAAACAGGAUUUAGGAUGUGAAUGGGGGCAGUGAGUAAUGCACAGAAAGAGUGGUCAAAAUGGAUGCUCCUUCGGUUUUAUCUAAAUGUAGGUAAAUUAGAAAAAUCAAGUGUGAAAUUGUGAAAAUGUAAUCUAAAGCUGUAGUCUUGCGCAAGUGAUGCACUGUAGUGCUGCCACAAUUCUGUACACACUUACUUGUAAGUCCCAUUGAGUUCAGUAGGAUUUUCUUUUGAGUAAACAUGCAUUGGAUUGCACUCUUAGGCCCAAUCCUCAUCUAUGAACAAUCCCUAUUGAACAUAGUAGGACUUACAAGCUUACAUGUAUAGGUUUUACUCUUAGAGAUGUUAACUUCAAAGGAAAGAUAUCCUGGAUGAAAGACUCGAAUUAAUAUUUAUUCAUGCUUUAUUCUUCUGAGAGCCCUUUCCCCAAAAAUGUAACUUCCAGGGAUAAACAGAAUGAGUACUGGCUCUCUGUCCUAUGUCUGUUCUGGUCUUCCUAUCAAGUGUCUUUUUACUAACUCUGAAUAAAAAUACUGUGAUAACUUG